UAACGCGAAGAACCUUACCAGGUCUUGACAUCCCUUGACAACGCUAGAAAUAGCGCGUUCCCUUCGGGGACAAGGUGACAGGUGGUGCAUGGUUGUCGUCAGCUCGUGUCGUGAGAUGUUGGGUUAAGUCCCGCAACGAGCGCAACCCUUAUUAUUAGUUGCCAGCAUUCAGUUGGGCACUCUAGUGAGACUGCCGGUGAUAAACCGGAGGAAGGUGGGGAUGACGUCAAAUCAUCAUGCCCCUUAUGACCUGGGCUACACACGUGCUACAAUGGCAUAUACAACGAGUCGCUAACCCGCGAGGGUACGCUAAUCUCUUAAAGUAUGUCUCAGUUCGGAUUGUAGGCUGCAACUCGCCUACAUGAAGUCGGAAUCGCUAGUAAUCGCGGAUCAGAACGCCGCGGAGAAUACGUUCCCGGGUCUUGUACACACCGA
rnacentral:rRNA from 1 species